UAAAUAUGAAAUGAUGAGAAGAAGCAAAUUGGAAUUUGGUUUUCCUAAAGCUAGCUAACCUUGUGAUUCUUUUCUUGAAAGCAUUCAAAAUAGUUUCGAUGAUUAGUCGAAUUCAAAACUGUGACUCAAGACACAUGAUAUUUUUUUCUCGUAACUGGUCGGAUUUCCAUGGUGAUGCAGCGAGGUUUUUGGAGGACGAUGAGUUCCUUGCUGCAGGUGCUGGUAGUGAAGGAAGAUGAGCUCAGCUUUAAGUUGCUUUCGUAGGCCGUAGCACCUGUAGCAGCAUAACCUUAGUUUACUCGAUGCUUUGGUUAAAAUGUGCUAAAAGUCCCUUCACUUUAUGUACAUUUAGAAUUCUGUCCUACUUUUAUUCCAAGGAAUUUAAUCCUUCUAUCUUUCAAAUUUAAAAA